UACGUAGGGUGCAAGCGUUAAUCGGAAUUACUGGGCGUAAAGCGUGCGCAGGCGGUUUUGUAAGUCUGUCGUGAAAGCCCCGGGCUCAACCUGGGAAUUGCGAUGGAGACUGCAAGGCUAGAAUCUGGCAGAGGGGGGUAGAAUUCCACGUGUAGCAGUGAAAUGCGUAGAGAUGUGGAGGAACACCGAUGGCGAAGGCAGCCCCCUGGGUCAAGAUUGACGCUCAUGCACGAAAGCGUGGGGAGCGAACAGG
rnacentral:rRNA from 1 species